AUUGAACGCUGGCGGCAUGCUUUACACAUGCAAGUCGAACGGCAGCGCGGGGGCAACCCUGGCGGCGAGUGGCGAACGGGUGAGUAAUGCAUCGGAACGUAUCCUGUAAUGGGGGAUAACGUAGCGAAAGUUACGCUAAUACCGCAUACGCUCGAGAGAGGAAAGUGGGGGAUCGCAAAAACCUCACGUUAUAGGAGCGGCCGAUGUCCGAUUAGCUAGUUGGUGGGGUAAAGGCCUACCAAGGCGACGAUCGGUAGCUGGUCUGAGAGGAUGAUCAGCCACACUGGGACUGAGACACGGCCCAGACUCCUACGGGAGGCAGCAGUGGGAAUUUUGGACAAUGGGCGAAAGCCUGAUCCAGCCAUGCCGCGUGCGGAG
rnacentral:rRNA from 1 species